rnacentral:rRNA from 1 species
GGAUCUCUUGGUUCUGGCAUCGAUGAAGAACGCAGCGAAAUGCGAUAAGUAAUGUGAAUUGCAGAAUUCAGUGAAUCAUCGAAUCUUUGAACGCACAUUGCGCCCCCUGGUAUUCCGGGGGGCAUGCCUGUUCGAGCGUCAUUUAAACCCUCAAGCUCUGCUUGGUAUUGGGUGCAGGCCUACCCAGGCCCGCCCGCAACCCGUCGGCGGUAUGUACCGGCUCCCAGCGUAGCAAAACACGUCGCUUCGGAGCCUGGUGGGUACCUGCCAGAAACUCAACCCCAAAGUUUGACCUCGGAUCAGGUAGGGAUACCCGCUGAACUUAAGCAUAUCAAUAAGCGGAGGA